rnacentral:rRNA from 1 species
CGCCCGUCGCUCCUACCGAUUGGGUGUGCUGGUGAAGUGUUCGGAUUGGCUGCCUUGGGUGGUUUCCGCCCUCGGUUGCCGAGAAGUGCAUUAAACCCUCCCACCUAGAGGAAGGAGAAGUCGUAACAAGGUUUCC